UUGUGGGCAUACAGAAAAGAAGGAAAAAAGGGAAGGAAGAAGAAGAAGAAGAAGAAGAAGAAGAAGAAGAAGAAGAAGAAGAAGAAGAAGAAGAAGAAAAAGGAAAGGAAGGAGAAGGGAGAAGGGUUGGUGUGCUAUUAUAGGUGCUCAUGCUACUGCCAUGGAGCUACUCUCAUGCUGUGGAGUUGUUGCCUUUUCGAAGUUACUACCAGAAGAAACCCCAGGGUUGUCAGUGUUGCUGCUACUUUUGGGGAAGUGCGUAGGAGCUGGACAGGUGCACGGGGAGAGCUGCUGCUACACCUGCAAGUCCCAAGUACUCGGAAAGUGAUGGUGGAAUCGGAGCUGAAGUGGAUUGAUGAUCAGCUAUGGUUGUGAGGUUGUGUCUUAUAGACACAAUGAAGAAGAUUAUGAUUUCCUUCUUUAUUUGUAUUUGCUGUUUUAAUGAUUAUAAGAUGUAUUUAUUUAUAAGAUCUGUGGGUUAGAUUAAUUAUUAAUUAUCGGGCUUGUAAUUUUAUUAUUAUCAUUG